rnacentral:misc_RNA from 1 species
CCGAGUUAUUCAACUCCCAAACCCACUGUGAACCUUACCUAAACGUUGCUUCGGCGGGACAGCCCCGGGCCCCCGCGCCCGGAACCAGGCGCCCGCCGGAGGACCCCAAACUCUUCUGUAUUGUCUAGCGGCAUUGCUCUGAGUGGCCCCUUAGCGGGCGAAAAACAAAAUGAAUCA